rnacentral:rRNA from 1 species
UUGGAGGGCAAGUCUGGUGCCAGCAGCCGCGGUAAUUCCAGCUCCAAUAGCGUAUAUUAAAGUUGUUGCAGUUAAAAAGCUCGUAGUUGAAUUUCGGGAUCAAUGUUUCGGUCAUGCCGUUGGUAUGUACUGAUAUUAUUGAUUUCUCACCUUCUAAAGAACCGUAAUGCCAUUAAUUUGGUGUCACGGGGAAUUAGGACUGUUACCUUGAAAAAAUUAGAGUGUUUAAAGCAGGCUCACGCUUGAAUACAUUAGCAUGGAAUAAUGAAAUAGGACAUCCGAUUCUAUUUUGUUGGUUUCUAGGAUCGAUGUAAUGAUUAAUAGGGAUAGUUGGGGGCAUUAGUAUUCAAUUGUCAGAGGUGAAAUUCUUGGAUUUAUUGAAGACUAACUACUGCGAAAGCAUUUGCCAAGGAUGUUUUCAUUAAUCAAGAACGAAAGUUAGGGGAUCGAAGACGACCAGAUACCGUCGUAGUCUUAACCAUAAACUAUGCCGACUAGGGAUCGGAUGAUGUUAAUUUCUUAAUGACUCAUUCGGCGCCUUACGGGAAACCAAAGUGUUUGGGUUC